AUUGAACGCUGGCGGCAUGCUUUACACAUGCAAGUCGAACGGUAACGGGCCUUCGGGUGCUGACGAGUGGCGAACGGGUGAGUAAUGCAUCGGAACGUGCCCAGAGGUGGGGGAUAACGCAGCGAAAGCUGUGCUAAUACCGCAUGUGAUCUGAGGAUGAAAGCGGGGGACCAAGCAGCAAUGUUUGGCCUCGCGCCUCUGGAGCGGCCGAUGUCAGAUUAGGUAGUUGGUGGGGUAAAGGCCUACCAAGCCGACGAUCUGUAGCUGGUCUGAGAGGACGACCAGCCACACUGGGACUGAGACACGGCCCAGACUCCUACGGGAGGCAGCAGUGGGGAAUUUUGGACAAUGGACGCAAGCCUGAUCCAGCAAUGCCGCGUGCGGGAAGAAGGCCUUCGGGUUGUAAACCGCUUUUGUACGGAACGAAAAGGCUCUGGCUAAUACCUGGGGCUGAUGACGGUACCGUAAGAAUAAGCACCGGCUAACUACGUG
rnacentral:rRNA from 1 species